AGUGAACGCUGGCGGCAUGCCUAAUACAUGCAAGUCGAACGGAAGCACAGUAAGAUUUCGCCUCUACCGGUGGCGAGUGGCGGACGGGUGAGGCAUACAUAGGCUACUUCUAUUUCGUGGGUGACAUCGCAGGAAAGCUGACGCUAACACCGCAUAUGUUCUACGGCUGAAAGCAGUGGAUCUUCGGACCUUUCGCGACUGAUUGAGCUGAUGUCGGAUUAGCUAGUUGGCGAGGUAAAGGCCCACCAAGGCGACGAUCCGUAGCUGGUCUGAGAGGAUGAUCGGCCACACUGGAACUGAGACACGGUCCAGACUCCUACGGGAGGCAGCAGUAGGGAAUCUUGGGCAAUGGGCGAAAGCCUGAUCCAGCAAUGCCGCGUGAGUGAUGAAGGCCUUCGGAUCGUAAAACCCUGUUAUUAGGGAAGAACAACUGCGGAAUUAACCACGGAUGUCCUGACGGUACCCAAUGAGAAAGCACCGGCUAACUACGUG
rnacentral:rRNA from 1 species